rnacentral:rRNA from 1 species
UACGUAGGUGGCUAGCGUUGUCCGGAUUUACUGGGCGUAAAGAGCGCGCAGGCGGUCGUUCAAGUCGAGUGUGAAAGCCCCCGGCUCAACUGGGGAGGGUCACUCGAUACUGAUCGACUUGAAGGCGGGAGAGGGAAGCGGAAUUCCCGGUGUAGUGGUGAAAUGCGUAGAUAUUAGGAAGAACACCAGUGGCGAAGGCGGCUCACUGGCCCGGUACUGACGCUGAGGCGCGAAAGCGUGGGGAGCAAACAGG